rnacentral:rRNA from 1 species
AUACUCACCGCUGUCCUUAACUGGGUGGCGGUCAAAGGUUGUAGUACCUCCUAGGGGCAACUCUAGGAUAUUAUGACUGGGGUUCCUACUCUUUUACUUUGAGCAAAUUAGAGUGUUCAAAGCAGGCAAUCGAGCCUUGAAUACUUCAGCAUGGGAUAAUGGAACAGGACUGGGAUCCUGAUUUCGUUGGUUUCUAGGGUCUUAGUAAUGAUUAAUAGGGAUAGUUGGGGGCAUUAGUAUUUAAUUGUCAGAGGUGAAAUUCUUGGAUUUAUGAAAGACUAACUUCUGCGAAAGCAUUUGCCAAGGAUGUUUUCAUUAAUCAAGAACGAAAGUUAGGGGAUCGAAGACGAUCAGAUACCGUCGUAGUCUUAACCAUAAACGAUGCCGACCAGCGAUUGGGAGACGUUAUAUAUAUGACUCCCCCAGCAGCUUGCGAGAAAUCACAAGUCUUUGGGUUCCGGGGGGAGUAUGGUCGCAAGGCUGAAACUUAAAGGAAUUGACGGAAGGGCACCACCAGGAGUGGAGCCUGCGGCUUAAUUUGACCCAACACGGGGAAACUUACCAGGUCCAGACAUAGUAAGGAUUGACAGAUUUGAGAGCUCUUUCUUGAUUCUAUGGGUGGUGGUGCAUGGCCGUUCUUAGUUGGUGGAGUGAUUUGUCUGGUUAAUUCCGUUAACGAACGAGACCUUAACCUGCUAAAUAUGUCACUGAUAGACUUCUACCAAAACAGGCGGGUGUUUAGGGUGAAGUUUCGAUGGAGCCCGACGCAUUCGUCUGUGGAUGACUAUCAGGAUGUACUUCUUAGAGGGACUAUCUGUAUCAAAGCAGAUGGAAGUUUGAGGCAAUAACAGGUCUGUGAUGCCCUUAGAUGUUCUGGGCCGCACACGCGCUACACUGAUAAGUUCAACGAGUUUAACACCUUGCUCGAUAGGGCUGGGUAAUCUUUGAAAAACUUAUCGUGAUGGGGAUAGAUCAUUGUAAUUAUUGGUCUUCAACGAGGAAUUCCUAGUAAGCGUGAGUCAUCAGCUCGCGUUGAUUACGUCCCUGCCCUUUGUACACACCGCCCGUCGCUCCUACCGAUUGAAUGAUGAGGUGAAAUGUUGGGAGCUGGGGCUUUUCGACGGCGGGGCAACUCGUCGCCAGAGGUUCUGCAAACUUCAUUAAACCUUUUCAUUUAUAGGAAGGAGAAGUCGUAACAAGGUUUCCGUAGGUGAACCUGCGGAAG